ACAGGUUUUUGUACUUAAAGUUGAAUUUUUGAUGAAGAAUUAAUGUUUGAACUGAUAUAUGCUGGUUGGGCUAGAGAAAGCCAGAGAAAGCUAGAAAUUUGGUUGAAUUGGCAGAGAGUUUAUGGCUUAAGCCAGAGAAAGCUACAGAUCCUGUUGAAUUGGCAGAGAGUUUCUGGCUUAAGCCAGAUAAAGCUACAUACCUUGUUGUAUUGGUAAAACAUUUCUGGCUCCAGCCAGAGAAAGCCAGAAGAGCUGAGAGGUGACUCAGAGGACACGUGUUAGCAAACCCAGCUAUGAAGUAAGGUAGCUGGCUGAGCCAGCUUAAAACUCCAGUUUCACUAUAAAUAGAUACCAGAUGCAGAAAAACAGAAUAUAUACCAUUCCCACCACUCAAAUUCGUCUAGGAGAGACCUAGGAGGCAGAUUCAAGGGGUUUUGGAGGUGGAUACACAACAAUAGUUGAGGAAUCAUCAUUGUAAUGUUUGUUCAUCUCUUUUCUUCUUAAUCUUUUGUAAAGUUCUCAUGAAUAUGGGUAACUAAUUUCUCUUGUUGUUAGGAUUGAAUGUAAAUUACUCUAUUAGUAUGUGUUUAUCUUGAUCAUGGUGUUAUAUAUAUUCUAGUUACAAAU
rnacentral:lncRNA from 1 species